CAUUUAUAAAGAGAAAGAUGAACAUACUUUGGUCCUAAUACUAGUCCUUAGUUUGAGGUUUUGAGGUUUUUCCAUCCUUUCUGUUCUAAACAAUGCUUAGAAGUAAUAAUAACCUACUCCCCUGGUAGUUCCAGGGGAAAAUUUUAUAACCAGGUAGUGUCUAGAUAGUUCAAAAGCAUUAAUUUUCCCCCUAGUCCAAUGUUAGUGAAGAAUUUUAAAUUAUUCACUUAAAUUACAAAUUUGAAUCUUCUCAGUUAAAAGCUAAUACCCACCACUGAAGAGAUAUGCCUGAUUUUGGUUUCAAUGUCAACCAAAUUGCCUAAAUAUUUGCAUAGACAUUAAUAGCCAAAGGCAGGACACCAAUUUAAUUCUGGGUAGAACUAGUCAGUUCCUUUAGUAACACUGCAUUGUGACUAAGUCCAAGUGUUUUGUUUUCUUUUGUUUUUCAAAUUAAAGCCAACUUGUGAUGGUUUAGUGUAAUUGUAGCUACUGAUUUCCAUUGUGUUUUAUAAUCACAAGGCAAUAUCUGUGUCACAGAAUAGUAUUGCCUUGAAACUAUUUUUUUCCCAAUUUUACCUUUCCCAUCUUUUGUCUAAGCCUCAAGUAAUGACCAGUUUUGUUUGUAGUUACAAUGGAAUAACUCCUAAAUUAAACUGUUUCCUACUUUUUUCAGCCUUCUCAAAUCCAAAAAGCACAUGACUCAGCCUCCAUCUAAAUUGGCCCCAGGGAAUGAAUGCUAUUUUAACAGUGAGAGGAACCUAGACUUCCCAGAGAGGAGAUGCGGAGAUAAACAUGUAGCACAAAGGUGAAGGCUGACAAAAGGGAAUCCAGAUGCUGGAGCAGUGAGUGAACAUACAGAAGAAACCUCAAGAAGCAGAUCCAAGGGAGAGGGUAUUCAUUGAAUGAAAGGAAACUGCUGGAAAUAAAGACAGAAAUGGUGGCAUUGCUUGCCCAGCAAGAUCGUGGUGUCACCCAGACUGACAGGAAGAUAGACACGGAGGUCGCUGGCCUUAAAACUAUUGCUCGAGUCACACAAGCUUGACAAGAUUAAAUAUGUAGCAGGGUCUGUGUUUACAUGCCUAACAGUAGCUCUGGGAUUUUAUCGCCUAAGGAUGUAAUAAACUCUCUAUUUAAAGAGCUCUCUUAAUUGUUUUGCCUUAAAAAUACCAGGUUGUUGUGCUUUUUGUUUUUCUCAUUUCAAAUUUUAAUGCUGAUUUUGAUUUAAUUUACAUUAUUUAUUUUAUGCAAUUUAUGGACAUAUAACCAAGGCAAAGAAGUCAGGAAUUUCAUAAUUGCCCCUUUCACCUCUUCUAUUUAAUUGACUUCAUAACACUGAGUGGUUUUGGACAAAGCAUUGAAGACUCCACGCAGCUGGACCAGUGAGCUUGGUCUAACCUGUGGGAUAUACCAGCAGUAAAUAUUGUAUAACUCUCUUUAAUUUUAAAUCUUUUGUCACAUGGAGAAUUUGGGGUCUCCACUUAAAGGCACAAUGGCUUUACUAAGUGCCAAAGAAUCAUCGAAACUAAACCAAGAGCAGCAAUUCCUCCUCACCUAACGGCCCAUCCCUGAGGGCAGCCAGUCUCUGUCUGAAGAGGAUCGUGUUUAGUGUUUGGUAUGUUAAUGAUACAGCUGUACUGUACACUGAAAGGAGUAUUUUUCUUUAAAUUUCUACUGUCUUAGUAAAUUAUUGUUACAGCUAUUUUUUACGUGUCUUCCAGUAGAAAAUCUUGUUGCUUAAUCAAGUGUUGUAAUUGUAAUGGGAACUCUCUUUACCUCUUAGAGGGCUAGGCUUCUCUCUCCCUCCCUGUCACUGGUCCUUCUCCUCUGCCUCUGAACUUGAGCGCUAUAAUGAUCCUCCACUUGUGGCAUUGCCUGCCUAGAGAGUCUCGGCAUGGAUGCCUACUUCAGUUUGUGGGACAGCCUCUACUUCCCUGCUGGUCUUCACUUGCUUCUUAUACAGGGGCCGGCACUCCAUCCCUGUGUAGCAGUGUGCGGAUAGUUAAUGUGCACGCUUCUUAGAAAUGUCUUUAAUCAAUACGCUCUUGCCCACUACAUACUCAGAUCAUAGGCUUUCAAAAUUAGAGAACUGUCAUGCCAGGUAUCAUCCUAGUGUAGGUCGAUUUCUUUGGUGGUUCAAGACAUUCGCAUACCUGCCUGCCUUCUAUAUCUAAUACAAAUUCCUAGAUGCACCUGGGGUUCUUUUGGAGCAGUGCCAUCUUAUUUAACAACUGGCACCUGGGAGAGAGUAAGCAUUUGGAAUCGAUGGCAUUAAUAGCAGCUUUUCUGCCUUUCUCCACAUGGAUGCAUGUGCCUAUCAUCUGUGUGGUGGAGAAACCACAUAGAGACUUCUGACCAAUCUGGUGGGAUAAAUUACCCAUCAUCACGGUUCCAACCACAUAAAAAGCUACCUCUUAUCCUUUGGAUGUCCCUUCUAAGCUUUGGCAAGUGUAAGUUGGUGCCUUUUCUUAAAACAUUUGUGUAGCACAAAAAAUUCUGAACUUAAAAUGUAUGGAAAUCAAGGGCCUAGAGUGUAGCUACUCCGAACUAAUACCCAAGCACAGAAAGUAGUGAAUGCAAUUAUGUUUCAAAAAAACACUAACUUGUAUAGUUUAAAAAGAGAGUGAAGUGACCUUCUGUCCUGAUAAAAUAUUUUUUAAAUAACAUUGAGUGGGGUGACAUUCUUUCAUCUGCCAAAAGUAUUCCAAAUGGCAUUCCUGGUGGUGACAGUGGGCUGCAUCAGUCUGUACUUAAUUUGGGCCAUUGGUUUUGUUGAAACGUUCCUUGCAGUACAGAACAGCCUUCCUCCCCACCCACCUGGGGAACAAUGAGCACUCCUCUCAGUGUUGUGGAUUGCGUGCAUACAGGGACAUUAUGAGGGCCCAGGACUGUGUUCCAUUUAUUUAGUUAAAUGUACUGUCUUUGAAAAGCAAAUGAGCCAGAUAUACCAGUGCACCCUUCCCCCUGCUGGCCCGGAAGUCUGAACUGUGCACAGUAAGCAUGCUAUAUUGGGACACAGUGUGACAACUUCCUGAGCUAGUCUAGCUUAGAAGGAUUCAGAUCACUUUAGGAAAUUGGGAUCAGCCCUCAGAAGCGGGAAGAUGCAUGGCAAGACUUAGAUGACCUGUGUCUACCACGUUGCAAAAAUAACCAUAGCUGCAUGUUGAAAGCCCACCCCUCUAGGCACAGCUUCCUUGGGCACAGAGACCUAAAGCACAACAUCAAGUGGACAGAAUCUUUGCAUUUCCUUUCCCUGCCCUGAUCACUCUGUGAGGAGUCCUCUGCUUUCCCACUCUUCUACCCCCCACCCCACCCCAUCCCUUUUCCCCUUCCCCUGCCUUUUAUCCUUUUUAAAGAGCCAGAACUCUCCAUUAUUAAGCAAAACCUGUUUGUGUGUACAGGAAACACGAGUUCAGUUUGUGUGCUGGUCUUACUCCUCAGCUGCUUUAAUAGCUUAAUAUCUAAUAAAGCUAAAUCUGAGUGUAUUCAUUUUUUCCCUAAAGUAUGCCAAGUACUUCAUUCAGUUGAGAAGUCACAAGUUCAGGAAGAAAAGCUUGACUCAAACAAGACAUCUUGCUGGACUUUGUCUCUGAACACUUUAAAAACAAAUCCCAAGCCACAGUGAGCGUGAGUGUGUCAUGCCUGGGUCGUCUCCAGCUCAGCUCGUGCUUUUCUCUCUGCAGCCACACUUGGUGACAUGAUCUUCCCUCUUAGGCCUGUCUCCUUUCAGCCUCUCUGCCUGUUAGAUAGCCAUGUCAGCACUGGCAGGCAUCACUCUACCCGCGCCUCGAUACCCUAUGUUGAUGCUGAUUUCUGAACCAAUACAGUGUAAACAGUACUGCAGAACCCACAGCUCGAAAACUUUGGCUUUAACAUAUGUUUAUCCUAUUUGUUGUGGCUGUUCUGACACAAAAGCAAAAACAUGUUAACCAGAAAUAAUUUUUUCUUUAUGUAAAAUGUUAGAUAAUAUUUAACCUUUUAUUGGCAUUUUACUUGGGAAAUAUCUUUCCAGAUUUACAGCUAUACUCUGAUUUAAACCAAAUCAUUUCUUAAAAAUCCAUUUAUUAAGCAAAUAUUGUUAUAUUUUAUUAUAUAACAUAGAAGAUAUAACAUUUUUAUUGUCUAAAGUGAAAUAUUCUGUGACUAAUAUACUUUCCUAUUCAUUCUAAUUGAAUAUGAAAAACUAGGACAACUUAAGCCUAUGCUGCAUUUCAACUGUAUUCUCUCCAAUUGUGUAUGAUAAGUCUAAUACCUAAAAAUCUGCAUUUACAUAGAUAAAUUUGAAAGUGAUUUUUCAACUUAGAAAAUAAAUUUU